rnacentral:rRNA from 1 species
AACGAACGCUGGCGGCAUGCCUAACACAUGCAAGUCGAACGAGACCUUCGGGUCUAGUGGCGCACGGGUGCGUAACGCGUGGGAAUCUGCCCUUGGGUUCGGAAUAACAGUUGGAAACGACUGCUAAUACCGGAUGAUGACGUAAGUCCAAAGAUUUAUCGCCCAAGGAUGAGCCCGCGUAGGAUUAGCUAGUUGGUGAGGUAAAGGCUCACCAAGGCGACGAUCCUUAGCUGGUCUGAGAGGAUGAUCAGCCACACUGGGACUGAGACACGGCCCAGACUCCUACGGGAGGCAGCAGUGGGGAAUAUUGGACAAUGGGCGAAAGCCUGAUCCAGCAAUGCCGCGUGAAUGAUGAAGGCCUUAGGGUUGUAAAGCUCUUUUACCCGGGAUGAUAAUGACAGUACCGGGAGAAUAAGCUCCGGCUAACUCCGUG